UGAACUGUGGGUUGAUUAACCCAGAACUAGUAUGAGUAUGUCGGUUCCAAAACACCUGAUAAGAGCUAGGUUAAUCUACCUCCUGUCGGUAACCCAGAGUUAACGCACGUGCACAGCGUGUACAUGUAGAUCAAUGGAUCGCCAAAUUUACGAGCCACCAUGGAAAACCGAAGCGACACUAAAAGGGCAGCGUAUUUCACAGAGGCGGAGUUGGAGGUUUAAAUGCUGGCGUAUGAGGAAUUCAAGCCGCUGCAGCGACAGAACGGGAGUUGGCUUAAACGCGAGUACAUGCGUGUGAUCCUUCUGGAGCAAGAAGAACUAAAAAUGAAACACAAACAUCCUACAAAAAGCUACUGGAAGGAAGAUAGAGGCUCAUCAGACAGGUGGGGGCCACCACCACCACCAAAAACGGAGAGCUACGCACAGAAUGCUCUCUGUUGUAAGUGCAGACCUGUGGUUUGUUAAGUUUAAAUUGAAAGGUUUUAAAAUCCGCAGGCUCGUCAUCAUACGGGCACGCCCUGCUCAGUAACCUUUGGAACGAACUUACCCUGACACAGAACCUGCUCUGGAGCAGGUUAUCUUCAGAGAGUAAGUUGCUAUGGUUACUUACAUGUCAUGAAAGUUACCUCAGUUUUUGGAACCCAAAGCUGAGGUUAAUCACCAACAUACCCUCAAACUUACCUGGAUAUGUCACAUAACCCGCUUUCUGGAACACACCCCAGGUGUUUCCAUGUGUCCCCAUAGAUGAAAACUGGGUCAAUUUAAUAUAAACAGAUUUUGUGCUUCAACCCUAAAAAUACAUUAACACAAAUAUCCAGUUUACAAAUGAAUGAAACAGUUAUUGGACAUUAUAAAAUAAUAACUGCUAAAAACAGUGUACUGUCACAUUAAAUUCUAUUGCAUAAGAUUAUGGUUACUUGCAGCUGAAUUUAUUCUCAGCUACAACUCUGAUUUCAAAUAAACAGCAGCAGACAAAUUUCUUCCAAAUGUAUUUUAUUAGAUGCAACUGGAAUCAGCAGAGAGCACAGGUCAUCUCUGUACUGAAUAAACCUGUGGGUUCACUCUGAAGGCAGGUGAACCUUCUGUGGAGGAUUCUUAUGACAGUCCAAGCUUCCUCUUCCGCAGGAGAAACAUUUUCAUUUCACUGCAGAGAAAAGAAGAGCAGCGCAGAGAGGAGGCGUCUUCAAACCAUCAACAUGUCCCGUUCUGUUCCUUUCCCCUCGUGAAAAAAACUAAA